AACGCUGGCGGCGUGCCUAACACAUGCAAGUCGAGCGAUUCUCUUCGGAGAAGAGCGGCGGACGGGUGAGUAACGCGUGGGUAACCUGCCCUGUACACACGGAUAACAUACCGAAAGGUAUGCUAAUACGAGAUGAUAUAUAAAAGUUGCAUGACUUUUAUAUCAAAGCUUUUGCGGUACAGGAUGGACCCGCGUCUGAUUAGCUAGUUGGUAAGGUAACGGCUUACCAAGGCGACGAUCAGUAGCCGACCUGAGAGGGUGAGCCGUUACCCCACCAACUAGCUAAUACAACGCAGGUCCAUCUGAUAGUGGUGCAUUUGCACCUUUCAAUUGACUAUCAUGCAAUAGUCAAUGUUAUGCGGUAUUAGCUAUCGUUUC
rnacentral:rRNA from 1 species